rnacentral:lncRNA from 1 species
CUUUCACCCAGUCUGUACCCUGCCCCUUCCAUCUGCUCUCGCUUUUACCCCUUUCACUCUUUCUUUGCCCACUCACGCACUACUACCCACCCUGACUGCAGGCAUUCUCUCUCACCCUGUCCACAUGCCCUUGUUUAGGGGAAGACUGAGGGAAUAGUCUAUGAUUACACUAUCAGCUCAUUGAGACAGAACUGUUAAAGGAGGCAGGGGCUGAUAAAGGCGCUUUGGGUAUAGUAAAGAGAGUGGAGGAGAGAUUUACGUGGCAGCUAUUGACGCUUUCCAAUGGCGCUUUGGCAUUGACAGCGACACAAGACCACCCGCGAGGUGUGUUGGCCGGGUGCCAAGCCAAACUGCUUUUGCGUUAGCCUAUAGCGAGCCUAUAACGAGGGCAUUACAAAGUCAUGUCGUCGCGGGAAAUCCCAGAAUAGAGUUCUCAUUUCGGUGCGGAGCCCCCUCACAAAUAGACCACAGAAACUGUAUAGUCAGUUAGUGACGCGCUCAGUCGCGUUUUCACACUAACUUUGUGUUGGUCAGUGUGCCCGCCUCACAUGCAUUCUAUUUUACCUGUUGACGACGACUGCGAUCUGUCAUUUAUCCUGGGAUUGAUUUGAAAUGAUUGAAUCAAACCAGAGAGAGGAGAACAUAGACACCAAAGGUCUUCAGAGGUUAUAUGACAGCAAACAGAAACUCUGAAAGUUCUCUGGAUGUAGUUACUGAAAGCGAAAGCGCGCUCCCCGUCUAAACCCGUCACUCUGUUUUUAUGAGCGUCUAUUUUAUUCAAACUCAAGAACAACAAUACACAUUCCCCACAACAAGAACGCUUUUGAAGAGAAAGCGGCGUAUUCUCAGAAAUGCCCCUCCACAAUAUGGACACCCCGAGGAGCCGAUGGGAGCAGGGCUUGCGGCCCCCGUGGGUCGCACGAUUGGCUGGAGGGCAAAGCCCCGCCUCUUCAGGGGUGGAGUCAGACACAGAGAGCAGCAGCACAGAGAGCGAGAGGUCUCCAGCCAAACGUUUAGAGUCGCGGUCACAGAGGAUCCUACCGUUGCCCUCCAUGCUGCAACAGCGAAUCACAGAGAUUGACCAGCAGAGGGAGGAGCUAAAGAUAGAGCUGCAGCUGGAGAUAGCCCUGCUGGAGGGUGAGCUGCAGGAGGAGAGGAACGAGCUGCGCAGACACACUCUGUAUCUACAGACACUGCAGGAGGAAGGCGGGCAGGAGGAGACACACAGACAGACGGACAGACAGAAGGAGAGAGCCAGUCUGGAGGUGGAGAGGGCCCGGGUUGAGGAGCUGAGGAGUAGGUUGGAGGAGAAGGAGGCACUGCUUCCCAGUCAGCCAGAGGGCCAGAGAGAGCAGCUUGAGAAGCAGUUGAAGGAGAUGGAGCGAGAGAAGGACAGAGAGAUGAAUGCCUUCAAGAAGGAGAGGAGAGAAUUGCUCCACACCACUCAAAGGGUCUUGAAAGAGAAGAAGCCACUCGCUGAUUGGUCCAACAUCCCCAGCUCGGUCCCUUGCAUGAUGUCACUCUCGCCGCUGACCAUUCACAAAUCACCUCAGGAAAAAGCCAAAGAAUCUGCCAGUUUACCCCGGAGACGGAGCACGCACCGCAACAAUAAGCUCGCCGAUAGGCCAAUCUCGGCGCAAGGGCUGGUGAGAAUGGUACCCGACAGUCCGAGCCCAGAGCGCUUCACUUCCCCUCUCCCCUCCCACCGGCACAGCAACGGGCACAUCAACGGGCACAGACCUGGGCCCAGCAAUGGCAGUGAUCUCCUCACCCCCUGUAACAGUGCUAGUAGCUCCCGUGCUGCCAGCCCAAAUCUGGGACUUUUAAACCUGGUGGAGAUUGAGAGGAGACUGAGGGAGGCCAAAGCGGAGAGAGAGAGGCUUCUCAAAGAGAGGGUGAGUCACCACCAUUAAUAUCCCUAAUCACUUCAGACACAGCUUUAGACGUGCCAGGUCAUAUUCAUUAGGGCACACCGUAACACAACGUUUAAAAAGAGUUUGUUGGCCUCCCGGGUGUCGCUGUGCCACCAGAGACUCUGGGUUCGAGCCCAGGCUCUGUCGCAGCCGGGCCAUGACCGAGAGGUCCAUGGGGCGACGCACAAUUGGCCUAGCGUCGUCCGGGUUAGGAAGGUUUUGGCCGGUAGGGAUGUCCUUGUCUCAUCGCACACUAGCGACUCCUGUGACAGGCCGGGCACAGUGCGCGCUAACCAGGUCGCCAGGUGCACGGUGUUUCCUCCAACGCAUUGGUGCGGCUGGUUUCCGGGUUGGAUGCACGCUGUGUUAAGAAGCAGUGCGGCUGGUUUCCGGGUUGGAUGGUGCUGUGUUAAGAAGCAGUGCGGCUGGUUUCCGGGUUGGAUGCACGCUGUGUUAAGAAGCAGUGCGGCUGGUUUCCGGGUUGGAUGGUNGACAAGGAUGACUUUGU